rnacentral:rRNA from 1 species
GAUGAACGCUAGCGGCAGGCUUAAUACAUGCAAGUCGAGGGGCAGCAGCUUUGUAGUAAUACAAGGGCUGGCGACCGGCAAACGGGUGCGGAACACGUACGCAACCUUCCUUUAACUGGGAGAUAGCCCACCGAAAGGUGGAUUAAUAUCCCAUAGUAUAUUUGAGUGGCAUCACUUAGAUAUUAAAGCUCCGGCGUUUAAAGAUGGGCGUGCGUCUGAUUAGGUAGUUGGCGGGGUAACGGCCCACCAAGCCCACGAUCAGUAGCUGAUGUGAGAGCAUGAUCAGCCACACGGGCACUGAGACACGGGCCCGACUCCUACGGGAGGCAGCAGUAAGGAAUAUUGGUCAAUGGACGCAAGUCUGAACCAGCCAUGCCGCGUGGGGGAUGAAGGCCCUCUGGGUUGCAAACUUCUUUUCUUUGGGACGAAACCCCUGUUUCUACGGGGACUGACGGUACCAGAGGAAUAAGCACCGGCUAACUCCGUGCCAGCCGCCGCAGUAACAC